rnacentral:rRNA from 1 species
GGAAUCUUCCACAAUGGACGAAAGUCUGAUGGAGCAACGCCGCGUGAGUGAUGAAGGUUUUCGGAUCGUAAAACUCUGUUGUAAGGGAAGAACAAGUACGAGAGGUAAUGCUCGUACCUUGACGGUACCUUACGAGAAAGCCACGGCUAACUACGUGCCAGCAGCCGCGGUAAUACGUAGGUGGCAAGCGUUGUCCGGAAUUAUUGGGCGUAAAGCGCGCGCAGGCGGCCUUUUAAGUCUGAUGUGAAAGCCCCCGGCUCAACCGGGGAGGGUCAUUGGAAACUGGAAGGCUUGAGUACAGAAGAGAAGAGUGGAAUUCCAUGUGUAGCGGUGAAAUGCGUAGAGAUGUGGAGGAACACCAGUGGCGAAGGCGACUCUUUGGUCUGUAACUGACGCUGAGGCGCGAAAGCGUGGGGAGCAAACAGGAUUAGAUACCCUGG